rnacentral:lncRNA from 1 species
UUUAUGUUAACCUGUGAAUGUGCUUUGAGUUUUUUAUGAGCUUAUAUUUUAUUAUAAUACUUUGUUUUGUAUUGCUUGUUAUCUUGUUAUCUAUCACUUUUAGUAAGGAAAUAAUAUGACACCAUAAUAUUGCAUAUUUUUUUAAGGAAUAAAUGCCUCUUUACCACCCAUAAGAGCACAGAGGGGGCAACUACAAGUUAGGAGUUAAUGCUUUAAUCUAUGCUUUAAUUAUGUUCAAUUUCUAACAAUGAAAGUAAAUCCUGCAUAUCAGAUAUUUAUAUUACGAUUUAUAAUAAUAGCAAAAUUACAGUUAUGAAGUAGCAAGGAAAAUAAUUUUAUGGUUGGGGUUCACCAGAACAUGAUAACUGUAUUAAAGGGUUGCGCCAUUAGGAAGGCUGAGAACCACUGAUUUAAAUGGUUCUGUAACUUUUAAUUAUGUUAACUGCAGCUCUUUUUUGAAAUUUUAAAAGCUAUUCUAUAGUAGUACAACUUAGAAAAGAACCUGCGCAGAAACGAACUGGCGCAUUGAGAGAUAC